rnacentral:rRNA from 1 species
AUUGAACGCUGGCGGCAUGCUUUACACAUGCAAGUCGAACGGUAACAGGUUAAGCUGACGAGUGGCGAACGGGUGAGUAAUGCAUCGGAACGUGCCCGGUCGUGGGGGAUAACGCAGCGAAAGCUGCGCUAAUACCGCAUACGAUCUGAGGAUGAAAGCGGGGGACCGUAAGGCCUCGCGCGAUCGGAGCGGCCGAUGUCAGAUUAGGUAGUUGGUGGGGUAAAGGCUCACCAAGCCAACGAUCUGUAGCUGGUCUGAGAGGACGACCAGCCACACUGGGACUGAGACACGGCCCAGACUCCUACGGGAGGCAACAGUGGGGAAUUUUGGACAAUGGGCGAAAGCCUGAUCCAGCAAUGCCGCGUGCAGGAAGAAGGCCUUCGGGUUGUAAACUGCUUUUGUACGGAGCGAAAAGGUCUCCUCUAAUACAGGGGGCUCAUGACGGUACCGUAAGAAUAAGCACCGGCUAACUACGUGCCAGCCGCCGCCGCAG